CAAUAGCGUAUAUUAAAGUUGUUGCAGUUAAAAAGCUCGUAGUUGGAUUUCUGGUGGGAGCGAUCGGUCUGGCGCUUAGCGCGAGUACUUGCAUCGUCUCCGGCCAUCCUUGGGGAGAGUCUGUCUGGCAUUAAGAUGUCGGGCAGAGGAUCCUCAUCGUUUACUGUGAAAAAAUUAGAGUGUUCAAAGCAGGCUUAUGCCGUUGAAUAUAUUAGCAUGGAAUAAUAAGAUAGGACUUUGGUACUAUUUUGUUGGUUUGCGCACCAAAGUAAUGAUUAAUAGGGACAGUUGGGGGUAUUCGUAUUCCGUUGUCAGAGGUGAAAUUCUUGGAUUUACGGAAGACGAACUACUGCGAAAGCAUUUACCAAGGAUGUUUUCAUUAA
rnacentral:rRNA from 1 species